rnacentral:snRNA from 1 species
GGAUGUGAGGGAGAUCUGGCUGUGACAUCUGUCACCACAUUGAUCGCCAGGGUUGAUUCGGCUGAUCUGGCUGGCUAGGCAGAUGUCCCCUUCCUCCCUCACCGCGCUCCCUGUGUGUCCCUCCCGAAGCUGCACGCUCGGUCAAAGAGGACGACCAUUCCCAAUAGAGGAGGACCCUUCCUAGGUCAAGGGUAUACGAGUAGCUUUGCUCCCCUGCUAGAACCUCCAAAAUAGCUUGGGAGAACAGAUCACAGGAGAGCAUGCUAGUCUGAAAUUUCUUUCAGUGUAACCUCCAGAAAAGGAACU